rnacentral:rRNA from 1 species
UAUGCAGUCGAGCGGUAACAGGAGAAGCUUGCUUCUCGCUGACGAGCGGCGGACGGGUGAGUAAUACUUAGGAAUCUACCUAGUAGUGGGGGAUAGCUCGGGGAAACUCGAAUUAAUACCGCAUACGACCUACGGGAGAAAGGGGGCAACUUGUUGCUCUCGCUAUUAGAUGAGCCUAAGUCGGAUUAGCUAGAUGGUGGGGUAAAGGCCUACCAUGGCGACGAUCUGUAGCUGGUCUGAGAGGAUGAUCAGCCACACCGGGACUGAGACACGGCCCGGACUCCUACGGGAGGCAGCAGUGGGGAAUAUUGGACAAUGGGGGCAACCCUGAUCCAGCCAUGCCGCGUGUGUGAAGAAGGCCUUUUGGUUGUAAAGCACUUUAAGCAGUGAAGAAGACUCCAUGGUUAAUACCCAUGGACGAUGACAUUAGCUGCAGAAUAAGCACCGGCUAACUCUGUGCCAGCAGCCGCGGUAAUACAGAGGGUGCAAGCGUUAAUCGGAAUUACUGGGCGUAAAGCGAGCGUAGGUGGCUUGAUAAGUCAGAUGUGAAAGCCCCGGGCUUAACCUGGGAACGGCAUCUGAUACUGUUAGGCUAGAGUAGGUGAGAGGAAGGUAGAAUUCCAGGUGUAGCGGUGAAAUGCGUAGAGAUCUGGAGGAAUACCGAUGGCGAAGGCAGCCUUCUGGCAUCAUACUGACACUGAGGUUCGAAAGCGUGGGUAGCAAACAGGAUUAGAUACCCUGGUAGUCCACGCCGUAAACGAUGUCUACUAGUCGUUGGGUCCCUUGAGGACUUAGUGACGCAGCUAACGCAAUAAGUAGACCGCCUGGGGAGUACGGCCGCAAGGUUAAAACUCAAAUGAAUUGACGGGGGCCCGCACAAGCGGUGGAGCAUGUGGUUUAAUUCGAUGCAACGCGAAGAACCUUACCUGG